rnacentral:misc_RNA from 1 species
AAAGAGCGCGCGACGGCGGCCCCUGGGAGAGCCAUGCGAGACUGGAGGCGGAACCGCGCACGACACCAAGCUGCCGCGCCGGACUGCUGCACGCAAGCGCAGCGCAGGACCGACCGACCUCCGUAGGCACGCACGGCGCCGGCGGCAUGGCGGAGCACCUCCUGUCGACGGCCGUGCACGACACGCUGCCGGGGAGCUACGUGCGGCCGGAGCCGGAGCGCCCGCGCCUCGCGGAGGUCGUGACCGGCGCGCGCAUCCCCGUCGUGGACCUGGGCAGCCCCGACCGCGGCGCGGUCGUGGCCGCCGUCGGCGACGCCUGCCGCUCGCACGGCUUCUUCCAGGUCGUCAACCACGGGAUACACGCCGCCCUGGUCGCGGCGGUGAUGGCCGCGGGGCGCGGCUUCUUCCGGCUGCCCCCCGAGGAGAAGGCCAAGCUCUACUCCGACGACCCCGCCAGGAAGAUCCGGCUGUCCACCAGCUUCAACGUGCGCAAGGAGACGGUGCACAACUGGCGCGACUACCUCCGCCUGCACUGCCAUCCCCUCGACGAGUUCCUGCCCGAUUGGCCGUCCAACCCGCCCGAUUUCAAGGAGACCAUGGGCACCUACUGCAAGGAGGUCCGGGAGCUCGGGUUCAGGCUGUACGCCGCGAUCUCGGAGAGCCUGGGCCUAGAGGCGAGCUACAUGAAGGAAGCGCUGGGGGAGCAGGAGCAGCACAUGGCGGUCAACUUCUACCCGCCGUGCCCGGAGCCGGAGCUCACCUACGGCCUCCCGGCGCACACCGACCCCAACGCGCUCACCAUCCUGCUCAUGGACCCGGACGUCGCCGGCCUGCAGGUGCUCCACGCCGGCCAGUGGGUCGCCGUCAACCCGCAGCCCGGCGCGCUCAUCAUCAACAUCGGCGACCAGCUGCAGGCGCUGAGCAACGGGCAGUACCGGAGCGUGUGGCACCGCGCGGUGGUGAACUCGGACCGGGAGCGCAUGUCCGUGGCGUCGUUCCUGUGCCCGUGCAACCACGUCGUGCUCGGCCCCGCGCGGAAGCUCGUCACCGAGGACACCCCGGCCGUGUACAGGAACUACACGUACGACAAGUACUACGCCAAGUUCUGGAGCAGGAACCUGGACCAGGAGCACUGCCUCGAGCUCUUCAGAACCUAGCGAAUCGGAUACGGAUGGAUGGAUACAUUACAUACGCGCCCUCUGUUUUUCUCCAUGACGUUAGAAGAACACGUUCUGCAAUGUUUGUCCAUUCAAGGUGGUAUCAAUCAAGGCUGUGGUCGUUGCAAUUCUUCCGCUCCAUAUACAUGAUUAAAUGCUUUGAAAGAAAAAGAAAAAAAAGAAACACAAGUAUUAUGGCACUACUAGUGUUUUUAGGAACAAGGAAAGAGGGGUUGCCCCUGCUGGCUAUAUAUAUUAAAUAUAAAUAAAGGUAAGGCUGUAGACAUUGGUGAAUAAGAGAAAGUAUUUGAGUUUCUCUAUUGUCACUCCAGAACAGACUCCUUUGCCUCGAUAACACUCGGCAAACGCUGGUAAAGAGGACUCGGUGAACUGUA